rnacentral:rRNA from 1 species
UACGAGUGGUACAAGCGUUAUCCGGAAUCAUUGGGCGUAAAGGGUGCGUAGGUGGUCUUGAUUAGUCUUUCGUUAAAACUCCCGGCUUAACCGGGAAGGUGCGAGAGAAACGGCAAGACUUAGAGGAUGUGAGAGGUAUGCGGAACUCAUGGUGUAGGGGUGAAAUCCGUUGAUAUCAUGGGGAACACCAAAUGCGAAGGCAGCAUACUGGCACAUACCUGACGCUGAGGCACGAAAGCGUGGGUAGCGA